GCCACACUGGAACUGAGACACGGUCCAGACACCUACGGGUGGCAGCAGUCGAGAAUCAUUCACAAUGGGGGAAACCCUGAUGGUGCGACGCCGCGUGGGGGAAUGAAGGUCUUCGGAUUGUAAACCCCUGUCAUGUGGGAGCAAAUUAAAAAGAUAGUACCACAAGAGGAAGAGACGGCUAACUCUGUGCCAGCAGCCGCGGUAAUACAGAGGUCUCAAGCGUUGUUCGGAAUCACUGGGCGUAAAGCGUGCGUAGGCUGUUUCGUAAGUCGUGUGUGAAAGGCGCGGGCUCAACCCGCGGACGGCACAUGAUACUGCGAGACUAGAGUAAUGGAGGGGGAACCGGAAUUCUCGGUGUAGCAGUGAAAUGCGUAGAUAUCGAGAGGAACACUCGUGGCGAAGGCGGGUUCCUGGACAUUAACUGACGCUGAGGCACGAAGGCCAGGGGAGCGAAAGGGAUUAGAUACCCCUGUAGUCCUGGCAGUAAACGGUGCACGCUUGGUGUGCGGGGAAUCGACCCCCUGCGUGCCGGAGCUAACGCGUUAAGCGUGCCGCCUGGGGAGUACGGUCGCAAGAUUAAAACUCAAAGAAAUUGACGGGGACCCGCACAAGCGGUGGAGUAUGUGGCUUAAUUCGAUGCAACGCGAAGAACCUUACCUGGGCUUGACAUGUAAUGAACAACAUGUGAAAGCAUGCGACUCUUCGGAGGCGUUACACAGGUGCUGCAUGGCCGUCGUCAGCUCGUGUCGUGAGAUGUUUGGUUAAGUCCAGCAACGAGCGCAACCCCUGUUGCCAGUUACCAGCACGUGAAGGUGGGGACUCUGGCGAGACUGCCCAGAUCAACUGGGAGGAAGGUGGGGACGACGUCAGGUCAGUAUGGCCCUUAUGCCCAGGGCUGCACACGUACUACAAUGCCCAGUACAGAGGGGGCCGAAGCCGCGAGGCGGAGGAAAUCCUAAAAACUGGGCCCAGUUCGGACUGUAGGCUGCAACCCGCCUACACGAAGCCGGAAUCGCUAGUAAUGGCGCAUCAGCUACGGCGCCGUGAAUACGUUCCCGGGUCUUGUACACACCGCCCGUCACAUCAUGGAAGCCGGUCGCACCCGAAGUAUCUGAAGCCAACCGCAAGGAGGCAGGGUCCUAAGGUGAGACUGGUAACUGGGAUGAAGUCGUAACAAGGUAGCCGUAGGGGAACCUGCGGCUG
rnacentral:rRNA from 1 species